AGGUCUCUCGAUCCUCACCUUUACAAAAUACAAAGGAAUCAACACCAAGCUCGCAAAGUAAAACUAAUUAACAGCAAAACAUAGUCAGAAAUUAAAAUAGAGAAUCUUUUCUCAACCUAAAUGUACAAAACAUAAUAUUUGAUUAAACGAACAAUAACAUGAUCAUAUAAUUUUUGUUAUUCUAUUGUUAUUAUUUUUCGUUUUUGUUUCAUGGUAGUCAUUCUCUUACUUUGGAAGACUCAAUGCACCGCUGAACUCUAUGCCACCCG
rnacentral:lncRNA from 1 species